GUACUUUGGCAGCACAUAUACUAAAAUUAGAAUGAUACAGAAAUUAGCAUGGCCCCUGCACAAGAAUAACGUGCAAAUUCAUGAGAUGUUCCAUAUUUUU
rnacentral:snRNA from 1 species